rnacentral:lncRNA from 1 species
GGAGAUGGUGGCGGCGCGAUCGUCCAGGGGGAGACCCUCCUCGUGCUGCAAAUACCGGGCGUCCUCCACCGUGGCGACCCGGUGGCGCUGCGCAUCCACCUCGCCUUCACUGCCGCCAAGUGCGUCAAGACGCUCCACUACGGCCACGAGAUCGUCCCCCGCUCCACAAACUUUUGUGUCGAGCGCGACUGGAUCGUCACCACUUCCCCGGUCGAACGGGUCUCUGGCAGUACAUCGUCUCUUUUUUUAUCACGACUGGUGGAUGUCUUCAGCUUGGAUUUGCCACACAGGUACAUACACCGUUUUUCACCUCUCCUGAAACUCAAUUCUUACCGUUUCUUGUUUUUUUGCUGUGGUUGCAAGUUUCAAAGCUUCCACCCGAGAUCGUCCAGUUCCACAGAGCCACCGGAUUUAGAUUUUGUAGUGCCUUAUGUGGAGUCAGCGCUUCCGCUCGCAUAUGGAGCUGUUUCAUGUAAGUUCCUGGGACUCCGUGUUAUCUUUCUAAUGUUUUUGUUCCAGGAAAUUGGACAUAGAUCACUUUAGGUGUGUAAGUGACUCUAUCACGCAAGUUAACUGAAAAAUCCAGUGCUUGGAGAAGUAACCUUUUCUUUUCAUGCACCCAAACUUUGACGUUUCCAUGGCAGGCCCAUUGGCUGGAGGUGUCUCUCGGUUGCAAUGGUGGGAGUCGGCCUUUUGCUCUCGGCAAAAGGAGCACCUGAAGGGACACUUGUCCAAGUUCCCAGUGUUGUCUUCCAAGGCUCUUUUCUCUUGGGACUCGUCAACAGGGCCGCUCUAGGAUACGAGUAAGCUCUUGGUCUUUGUAAUCUGUGCGUUUGAAGUUCUGUGUGGAAAUUUGCAAUGCUUGCACGUGGGAACUGUUGCAGUGCAUCCGCUGGUAAUAGCUGGCUGGUAAGAGGAUGUCACCAUUGUCUUUGAAAAGCUCUUAGAAGUUCCGUGUGCUUGUUUCCUCCCAGGUGUGGACUAACGACGACUCCAUUUAACUUGCUUCCAGUGGGAUGUAUCGACGGAGGAAGAGCUCUCCAGGUUCGUAAUUCACUCAAAAUCCAACUCUUGAUCAUGACUCUGAGUGAGUGCAUACAGGCCGCAUUCGGGAGCAAGGUGUUGAAUAUCGCUGGCUUGAUCACUUACGUGCUACUAGGACUGGGAGUGGUAAUCUUAGAAACGUUUAAGCCUUUCUUCUCACUCAACGUUCACGCAGUUGGGAGGUCCACUGUCUUUGCCGUGGGGUUUGUACAUUAUCAUCGUCCAGGUACGUCGGUUCUUUCCUUUCUUAGAGAGUUCUUACUGUCUGUUUUCCGAUACAGAGAUCGUCUGGGAAGGCCUGCCUCAAGGACGUUACUGGUGUUGGCACUUGGAGGCAAAUCGUCUAUGCUGUGACGCUAGUGUUGGUCGUUUUGACGCUCUUGCCGUUGUGGGAUGGCCUGGCCACCCAGCUUGGCAUUGGCAUUGGAACCCCAGACUCACUCGAUCUAUUUAUGUGAAAGCUUCCAGGAGAAACGAUGGGUUUUUUUUCUUUCCAUUUCGCGGCAAGAAACAAUUUUGCACGCAUUCGUUGACAGAGAACCUGUGUGACGAGAUUGUGGUACAAGAAAAUGAUGUGCUUGCAACUCUGCCGAUUUUGAAUUCCUUUUUGGAAAUCAAAACAAUUUACAUUCCUAUUGUCACCUUGUAAUGAGUGACGCGUUUCAAGUGGAACUGGCGUCUGGCCUGCCUCAAGGUAACUUCCUCCCUUUGUGGAGACAUGGACACUGUGGUUGUAGACAAGGAGCUUAAUCUCAACCAGAGUUGGGACUACACAGACGCGCACGACAACAUUUUCUUUCCCAGCUUUGUGAGAAACUGUCGCGGUCCCUCGCCAACAAUUUACGUGUGGGGACUCCCUUCAGGUGUCACCGAUGCAGAGCUCAUCACUCACUUUUCCCCGCAUGGCGAGAUAGCUGCCACUGAGGUGUUUGCAUCCGAGGAAGGGAAGCCGCGAGCACGAGUUCGAUUUGCUACCAAAGAACAAGCAACCGAAGCUGUCGCUUGCAAGCAGUACAGCGUCGUCAAUGGCUCCACAAUCCGGCUCGCCUUUGCGAUCAAUGGGAAACCAAAGAAAACGUCCAGCAGCAACGCAGCGGAGGCUGGAGACUAGCCGAAAGAGAAAGAGGUACUUCCAAGCUUUCAUAAAUUCAACGUGUGGACUAAACCAUACCAAUGACCAUUUCUCCUUGGUUGCAGAUGUCAACGUUUCUCUCUUGUCUCAAACAGAGAAGCUGCGAAUUGGAACUUUCUACGAUUAUGCAUCAGUGUGAUGUCCAUCAUUUUUGACUUCGCGCAGAUUAAAAGGUGUAUGUUUCGUCGCACAGCCAUCCGAGAGUUUGCCAUGGAGGGACAAUCAUCAAAGUAUCUGAUGGCUUGGCUUUUGAUAGUAACGAUCGAGCUCCACUUCUUGGCAGCGGGGUGUCGGCUGCUAGAGCACGAGAUCACGUCUCGGACAGUCGUGGAAGCUUCGGUCUAUUGCGAGAUUUGCCACGAAGGGCGCAGCAUCAAGAACAUAGCACUGCCUGGUCCGUACUAUCUCCAUCUCUAUAAGUUCCUGUCGAUGAUCACCAGUUCUAGUGGAGUUUACAUUCUCGGCAUGGUUUGAUCCAGGUGUUGUUGCGUUCCUGGAGUGCAAUGGUGCUCGUGUCAGUGGCAGUAGCACCACGGACUCGUCCGGAAAAUGAUCGGUGGAUGUUCCCAGCGGCUACAACUUGGAGAGGGAUUGCCGAGUGUCCGUGCUCGUAAAUCCGCGCUGUUUGCAAUGGGUGGUUCAUUGUCACAAGCUCGUGGGGAGUGGAGGAAGUGCCGUUGCAUACAAAUAAGCUCAAAGCUCCCAUCCGGAACAUCACUGCUCGACCAGCUGUCCCUUGAUCUUCCCAACGAACCCAAGAGCCAGCAGCACGUGGAUGUUUCGAUGGCGAUCCUCCCAUUCCUACGGGAAAGCUGCGCCAACACCGAAGUGGCUCUGGAGAUCAAGAACUUCUGUCUUGGUGUGGAUGACAACGAGGUAAUCAUCAACACCAAGGCUCUUGGAUUCUACCCAUACCGCUUCGAACUCCAUAUUAAUCCACAGCUUGGCGAGAUGGAAAAUUCUCCCAUUGCUAUCUAUGACUACAAUUUCCAUGACGGUGCUCGUGCUAAUGCCAACUCCAGCACUCUCACCACUCUCACCAAGAACAGCGAAGGUGAGCUUGGAGCUCGACUUGAUUUACAGGCAGUAAAGUUCAUAGUAAAGAAGUCGUGGGGGCAGUCACUCCAAGAGCCAAUGGACUACGAGUCCAUCAGUGUUGGAGCUCCAGGGAACAUGGCAGAGCUUGAGUGGAAAUUACUUCGCUGGAAUUGCAACGGGACGGAGUAUAAUCCAUCCAAUCCACACUCUGGGCUAAGUUCCCUCGAGGUACAUGUUAUUCCUUUGGAUUCCUUUCACUUCGUUUUCUUUGUAGGCGCCUUUCCGAGGACGACGAACAAAAAUCAGCGUGGAAGACUUUCCUGUUAUUGUGUGGCAUCUGCCUGCGAGCACGGCGUCCAAGUUUCAGCUCAAGUUCAACAUUCGUCUGGAGGCCGACAUGCAUCUCCUCUGGUACCAGAGAAGCAGCUGGAUGUGCCCAAGAGCCAAGGAGUAUAUCAGCAAGAGAGUCGAAUUUUCUCGUGAGUUUGCGGUUACCGAUGGUAAUAAAAAACGAAAGUUCUUUUUCCCUUUGUCAUUUAGACUAAAAGUUUGGCGCGAAAUGUGUACACCCCUGGUUAGGGUUAGGGCAUCCCUGGCAGAGGGAGGCGCGGUUCAAGCGCUUCCUCCGCACAGGCGCGCGCAGGUCUUGCUUCGAGACCAGACAUGGCGGGCCUCACAGUGCGCCUUCUCGAGCUAGCGGGUAAGCAAGCGUCUUGAUUCUCUUUCCUCUCAAGAUCGAGACUUGGUCAAUGCAGAAGGCAGCCAUGUCAAGAGCCUGGAGCAGGCAUCACGGAUGCGGUGGCGGCCAAGGACGCGGUGAUCCGCGAUUUUGCCAAGCGCGCACGCUGGAGGAAUUCGAGGAGUACAGGCGGCCAUCCAAGGAGAGGAAGACAAUGGACGCCGAGGUGGACGUGUCCGAGCGCGUCUCCUACGCUCACAGGAUAAGCUACACCCGAUUAUCUUCUCGGUCAGCCCCCUCAGGAGCAGCAACGCAGCCCUACCACUACAGCGACAUGGAUCUGGGCGUCUUGAAAGCUCCGGAAACCGCACCGCCACCAGCGCCAUUCCUGCCGUCGCCAACUGUGAAAAAAUCACCACCAAAAGAAGCAGCAGCAGGAAAGCUCACGCCCUCUCCACUCCGGUUACACUUCCCGGACUGCCUCCCGGAUGGAAGCCCGGAGAUCCGGUUCCACUGCCGGAAGUGGCACCGCCAGCACCAAUUCCAACAGCGUGCGCUCCAGGAGUAAUCAAGGUGCCGUUCGUGCAGCUGGAUUUAAACCCGGAGCUCGAGGACGACUACGCCUUGGACGAGGAGCAAAGCUCCGAGGAAGAGUGAGGAACCAAGUAAGUUGGCAUUCUUUCUAAGUUCUUUGAGACUUCCUUUGUACCCUCAGGCUAACCACGAUCAAAAUCAAGAAGUCUCAUGUCCUACCAGGAAGGAGAACUCGAUAUUGCAAGUUAAAAUCAAAACUUUGGGGGGAACAAAUACUCAAUUCAAAUCCGGGGGUAAGAACAGCCUUUUCCACUUACACCAGGUCUUGCGUAACCGACUUCUUAACCUUGAGCUACAGAAGCACGGACUUCACGAACGCGAAGAAAAAGCUCUCGGUUCUGCCAGAAGAGAAGAUCUACCGGAAGGGGAACUGCUGCAUCAGCGGUCUCAGUCGUUCUAAAACAUCCGACAUGAUUCAAGCACAUCGUCGCGAUCAUGCCGAGCUCCCGCGGCACCUUGACGUGAUCCGGCAGUAGCCUCAGCCGGGAUCCACGAUGGGGAGGACAUGGUUCGCCCUCCCAGCGCGACCAACCAGGUACGUUCCCAACUACCUGAACUUUCCUGUUACUGAUGAUCUCCGCCAGCAGAAGACGUCCAUGGCGGCGAUGGUGGCGGCGCGAUCGUCCAGGGGGAAACCCUCCUCGUGCUGCAAAUACCGGGCGUCCUCCACCGUGUCGACCCGGUGGCGCCGCCGCUGUGCCUGGCGCUGCGCAUCUACCUCGCCUUCGCCGCCGCCAAGUGCGUCAAGACGCUCCACUACGGCCACGAGAUCGUCCCCCGCGAUCCCCGCUCCACAAACUUGUGUAUCGAGCGCGACUGGAUCGUCCCCACUUCCCCGGUCGAACGGGUCUCUGGCAGUACGUCGUCUCUUUUUUAUCACGGCUGGUGGAAGUCUUCAGCUUGGAUUUGCCACACAGGUACAUACACCGUUUUUCAUCUCUCCUGAAACUCAUUCUUACCUGGUUUCUUGUUUUUUUGCUGUGGUUGCAAGUUUCAAAGCUUCCACCCGAAAUCGUCCAGUUCCACAGAGCCACCGGAUUUAGAUCUUGUAGUGCCUUAUGUGGAGUCAGCUCUUCGGCUCGCAUAUGGAGUGCAACUGGUUCAUGUAAGUAAUCUUUCUAAUGUUUUUGUUCCAGGAAAUUGGACAUAGAUCACCUUUAGAUGUGUAAGGACUCUUGGUAGUUUCGGUGCUAUCACGCAAGUUACAACCACGGUGCUUGGAGAAGUUACCUUUUCUUUUCAUGCACCCAAACUUUAUGGCAGGCCCAUUGGCUGGAGAAUUUCUGUCGGUUGCAAUGGUGGGAGUGGGCCUUUUGCCUUCGGCAAAAGGAGCACCUGAAGGGACACUUGUGCAAGUUCCCAGUGUUGUCUUCCAAGGCUCUUUUCUCUUGGGACUGGUCGCCAGGGCCGCUCUAGGAUACGAGUAAGCUUUUGGUCUUUGUAAUCUGGGCGUUUGUUUUGAUGAAGCUCUGUGUGGAAUUUUCCAAUGCAGUGUAUUGCACGCGGGAACUGUUGCAGUGCAUCCGCUGGUAAUAGCUGGCUGGUAAGAGGAUGUCACCAUUGUCUUUGAAAAGCUCUUAGAAGUUCCGUGUGCUUAUUUCCUCUCAGGUGUGGACUAACGACGACGGCUUUCAACUUGCUUCCAGUGGGAUGUAUCGACGGAGGAAGAUCCAGGUUCGUAAUUCACUCAAAAUCGAACUCUUGAUCAUGACUCCGAGUGAGUGCAUACAGGCCGCAUUCGGGAGUAAGGUGUUGAAUAUCACUGGCUUGAUCACUUAUGUGCUACUCGGACUGGGAGUGGUAAUCUUAGAAACGUUUAAGACUUUCUUUUCACUAAACUUUCACGCAGUUGGGAGGUCCGCUGUCUUUGCCGUGGGGUUUGUACAUUAUCAUCGUCCAGGUAUGUCGGUUCUUUCGUUUCUUAGAGAGUUCUUACUAUGUGUUUUCCGAUACAGAGAUCGUCCGAGAAGGCCUGCCUCAACGACGUUACUGGUGUUGGCACUUGGAGGCAAAUCGUCUAUGCUGUGGCGCUAGUGUUGGUCGUUUUGACGCUCUUGCCUUUGUGGGAUGGCUUGGCCACCCAGCUUGGCAUUGGCAUUGGAACCCCGGACUCGCUCGAUUUAUUUAUGUGAAAGCUUCCAGGAGAAACGAUGGUCUUUCCAUUUCGCAGCAAGAAACAAUUUUGCACGCAUUCGUCAACAGAGAACUUGUCUGACGAGAUUGUGGUACAAGAUAAUGAUGUACUUGCAAGUUUGGAUCUGCUGAUUUUGAACUCUUUUAAUCAAGACAAUUGCACAUAGGUGCCAUUUCUAUUGUCACUUGUAUAUUUUUCCAUUGUUAUGUAGGAAAACAUCCUCCUCUCCAUUGUUGUAGCUGUUCAGAUUUAGAAUUCUUGCCUUCAUCAAAAUUGCACUCUACAACCUUUUUUGAACGUGCGAAGAGAAGACCUUCCUUGUAUCCCAUGAUGUGUCUAUGGGCUGCGGGGCUGUUGGACACGAAAAACUCGAAUCACAAAAAGUAUGUGGAGCAUUAGUGGUUUUUUGUAAAGGAAUGUUAGAAACGUGGAAAAGGAUAUCACUCCCUAGUAGAAUGUGUCUUAACCAUAUUGCACUCGACCACCCUGAUUUCUGGUAGCAACUCAUCUUCAUUAAUCUUUAGGAAAAGAACCUUCAAAGCAAGUGAUAGCCACUUGUGAUGAAGACAGAAGCAGGGAUAGGGACCUGUUAUGAGCAUUAAGCAAAGUUGCUUUGUGAACACUGUCAGUGAUUGUUAACUUCCCUUUGGACCAUGUUGUUAUGCAAGUGGCCACAAUGUGCCAUGGCCAUCCUAGGAUAAUGGAGUCUUUCAAAAUUCCAGAUCCUAGCUGUUAGUAAUUCACCAUAAGAAAAUUGAGCAUUGAAACCACUUUUAUACUGAGAUCUUGACAUUGAGGAAUUGGCAAAUGUUUUGAGGAUGAUGGCUGUGUUGCCGGGUUGGAAACUCCACCCAGAGCUUUAGCCACUUUUGGUUUAGUGUGUUCAGCAGUAGCCUUUGGCAGAGAACAUGUUGCUCCCACAGUCAGCAAAUAGAUAUUAGCAACAACUGGAGUAAGAAAGUAAUAAAAAAUGCCCCUUCAUUGAGCCAUAAGAAGACACCCAAUUUACAUUGCUAAAAAUGGCUAUAAGAUGGUUGUUAUAUGAAGAAAGUUUUCUCUCCAAACAUUGCACCAAUUUCCAAAUCUUCUCUUUUGUGGUGUGCAAACUACCCCAUAUUUCAGUAUUUGCCACCCACAUCCUUGGCUACAACUUUGGAUUUGUUGGUACAUCAAUCAAGAUAACAUUCAGUGAACUUGCAUGAUGCAUUCAUGGUUUUGGGUGGCAUUUGCAAGCUAUAGGCUUCCCUAUGGCAUCUCAACAUGACAUGCAGAUAGUCAACACUUAUACUACUCACAAUCUAGGGCACUUUUUGCAGAGGUCUGGAUAAAACUCUCUUUCUCAAAGGCACAAGCAAUACUUGAUUUAGGAUCCUAGAGCAAUAUCAUCUUUCUUGACAUAGCACACUCUAGUAGCUUAGAAGUCUCUUUGGCAUCAUGGAUAUAUGGCACAAUAGGUGACUGAAAUCACAUCAACAAAGUUGAGACCAGGGCAAAAAUUUAAUGCUCUUUUUUGGCCAUUUUACCCUACAAAAUGGGUGAUCUUCAAACUGCCCUUUAAAUGUUAGGUAGAAAUUAUUAGAAUUUCAAAUAGAAUAUUCUUUUGAAAUAUUUCUUUUCUUUCCUAAAGGAUUAAUGAAUAUUCCAAAUUUAAUGAGUGGGGCACUUUUCUAGAUUACUGCCUUGUUUAGGCUACACGUUUUCAAAACUUGUUUAGCUCACACUUUCUUAGCUCUUGCUGCACGUGUUUAUCACCAUUACCCUGGAUCCUAAAGACUUUGAUUUUUCAUGACUCCUUAUCAGGACACCGCAUGUUUGAUUUUUCAUGAUGUGAUAUGUCAACGAUUGCACUACAUGCGUCAGCAGCAAGAGUAGCCGUUGGUUGUGGGGCCUCGAGAGGAAGGGUCUGAUAUCAAGCAUUUUACCGUUUGUUUUGUAAUACGUGGUUUCCUUCCUGGAGAAUGUAAAAUCGUCAAAGCCUAAGACUUCUUUGGUGUGCGCGGGCCCACACCAUCAUCAUCUAGUCACACGAAACCCAGCUUGGCCGAUGACAUCAGUUGGCAGAGUGAUCAACGAGUCCUGCCUCCGGACUCGCUACAGUUUGGACAGCGAGCACGAAGAUGACGGUUAGACACAAUGUGCAAGCCAGCGCUUUUCCUGAUUCUUGAACUGGGGAAUCCAUGCUAGUGAAAGAGGAGGAAAGAACACUACGAGAAUAAAAUAUUCCACUCGGGAAAGUCGCACAGCACUCGGUACAACCCAUCUGCGGGUGUCUUACUCCUCGUCCUCGGCCCUUCUUCGCUUGUCCUCGUCCUCCGCCGCGCCCGGCCUUCUCGACCUCGUAGCGAGUUUGCGGCGACAGCAGUAGGCCAUCGGCGCGCUACCUUUCUUUCUCACUUUCCACUGUCUCCAGUACAUCGCCGCUUGCAAUGGGUGGUUCAUUGUCACAAGCUCGUGGGGAGUGGAGGAACUGCCGUUGCAUCAAAAUCAGCUCAAAGCUCCCAUCCGGCACAUCACUGCUCGACCAGCUGUCCCUUGAUCUUCCCAACGGACUGCCCAAGAGCCAGCAGCUCGUGGAUGUUUCGAUGGCGAUCCUCCCAUCCCUACGGGAAAGCUGCGCCAACACCGAAGUGGCUCUGGAGAUCAAGAACUUCCUUCUCGGUGUGGACGACAGUGAUGUAAUCAUCAACACCAAGGCUCUAGGAUUCUACCCAUACCGCUUCAAACUCCAUAUUAAUCCACAGCUUGGCGUGAUGAAAAACUCUACCAUUGCUACCUAUGACUACAACCUCCGUGACGGUAGCCGUGUUAAUGCCAAUUCCAGCACCAAGAACAGCGAAGGUGAGAUUGGAGCUCAACUUAAUUUAUGGCCAGUAUCGUUAAAAUUAAAGAAGAAGUGGGGGCAGUCACUCCAAGAGCUAAUGGAGUACGAGUCCAUUCGUGUUGGAGCUCCAGGGAACACCGCAGAGCUCGAGUGGAAAUUACUUCGCUGGAAUCACAACGGGACGGAGUAUAAUCCAUCCAAACCACACUCUGGGCUAAGUUCCCUCGAGGUACAUGCUUUACGCCUUUGGAUUCCUUUCAGUUCGUUUUCUUUCUAGCCGCCAUUGCGAGGAGGACGAACAAAAAUCAGCGUGGAAGACUUUCCUGUUAUUGUGUGGCAUCUGCCCGCGAGCACGGCGUCCAAGUUUCAGCUCGGGUUCAAUAUUCGUCUGGAGGCCGACAUGCAUCUCCUCUGGUACCGGAGAAGCAAAUGGAUGCGCCGAAGAGUCAAGGAGUACAUCAGCAAGAGAGUUGAAUUUUCCCAUGAGUUUGUGGUCACCGAUGGUAAAGGAGAACUGUCAUAUGCUUUUGAUAUCGAAUUUUGAUAGAGAAUGAAAAAAAAGAGUUAUUUUUCUCUCUGUCAUUUAGACUCAAAACUUGGCGCGAAAUGUGUACACCCCUAGUUAGGGUUAGGGCAUCCCAGCGCGCAGCGCCUUCUCGAGCUAGCCGAUAAGCAAGCGUCUUGAUUCUCUUUCCUCUCAAGAUCGAGACUUGGUCAAUGCAGGCAGCAAAUCGUGGAAGGCAGCCAUCUCAAGAGCGUGGAGCAGGCAUCGCGGAGGCGGUGGCGGCCAAGGAAGAGUUUGCCAAGCGCGUCAGGAACGCGGAGCAGGCGGUCCAAUGAGAGGAAGACACUGGACGCCGAGGUGGCGUCUCCUACGCUCAUAGGAUCAGCUACACCCGAUUAUCUUCUCGGUCAGCCCCCUCAGGAGCAGCAACGCAGCUCUACCACUACAGCGACAUGGAUCUGGGCGUCUUGAAAGCCCCGGAAACCGCACCGCCACCAGCGCCAUUCCUGCCGUCGCCAACUGUGAAAAAAUCACCACCAAAAGAAGCAGCAGCAGGAAAGCUCACGCACUCCGGUUACACUUCCCGGACUGCCUCCCGGAUGGAAGCCGGUUCCACUGCCGGAAGUGGCACCGCCAGCUCCAAUUCCAACAGCACGCGCUCCAGGAGUAACCAAGGUGCCGUUCGUGCAGCUGGAUCUAAACCCGGAGCUCGAGGACGACUACGCCUUGGACGAGGAGCAAAGCUCCGAGGAAGAGUGAGGAACCAAGUAAGUUGGCAUUCUUUCUAAGUUCUUUGAGACUUACUUUGUACCCUGAGGCUAACCACGAUCAAAAUCAAGAAGUCUCAUGUCCUACCAGGAAGGAGAACUCGAUAUUGCAAGUUAAAAUCGAAACUUUGGGGGGAACAAAUACUCGAUUCAAAUCCGGGGGUAAGAACAGCAUUUUCCACUUACACCAGGUCUUGUGUAACCGACUUCUUAACCUUGAGCUACAGAAGCACGGACUUGUGGAACGCGAAGCAAGAACGCGAAGAAAAAGCUCUCGGUUCCGCCAGAAGAGAAGAUCUACCGGAAGGGGAACUGCUGCCUCAGCGGUCUCAGCCGUUCUAAAACAUCCGACAUGAUUCAAGCACAUUGUCGCGAUCCUGCCGAGCUCCCACGGCACCUUGACGUGAUCCGGCAGUAGCCUCAGCCGGGAUCCACGAUGGGGAGGACAUGGUUCGCCCUCCCAGCGCGACCAACCAGGUACGUUCCCAACUACCUGAACUUUCCUGUUACUGAUGAUCUCCGCCAGCAGAAGACGUCCACGGCGGCGAUGGUGGCGGCGCGAUCGUCCAGGGGGAGACCCUCCUCGUGCUGCAAAUGCCGGGCGUCCUCCACCGUGGCUACCCGGUGGCGCCGCCGCUGUGCCUGGCGCUGCGCAUCCACCUCGCCUUCGCCGCCGCCAAGUGCGUCAAGACGCUCCACUACGGCCACGAGAUCGUCCCCCGCGAUCUCCGCUCCACAAACUUGUGUAUCGAGCGCGACUGGAUCGUCCCCACUUCCCCGGUCGAACGGGUCUCUGGCCGUACGUCGUCUCUUUUUUAUCACGGCUGGUGGUAGUCUUUAGCUUGGAUUUGCCACACAGGUACAUACACCGUUUUUCAUCUCUCCUGAAACUCAUUCUUACCUGGAAUCUUGUUUUUUUGCUGUGGUUGCAAGUUUCAAAGCUUCCACCCGAAAUCGUCCAGUUCCACAGAGCCACCGGAUUUAGAUCUUGUAGUGC